UGUUCCUGAAAGUGAGCGCCCGUUACCAUAGAGACGGUGACAGCUACUGCUCGUCUAUGGGCUGUGAGCGGAUUAUCGUACACGCCUUUGUCAUGAGUGACGAGGUGGCGAACUGCACCAUAGAAGCCUACCCCAAAUAUCAGGCCCCGCCCACCGAGACCGUUCCCAUGGCAACCUACGUGGCCGAGCAAGAGUCGUGCUCUGCGUGUGGAUCUCAGGUACCGAUAGUAUUCGAUGAUCGACAACAAUAUGCGAACAUAACUAUAGUAUCCAGCGGAUUCUACGAGAU